CAAAUGUUCCAACCAAGAAUCUGCAGGUUUGACUACGGACUCUGAUCUCCAGAUAGGUCUUACCAUGGUUUGUUCACUCGCGGAAAGACGUGUAAUAAGGAUCAACGGUGUGAUUUUUAAGUCACAUGACUUGUCUAAAGAAUAAAAUACCUGUAGUACAUAAUAAUUUCAUAAUCAUAAUAAGAAGAGCUAAAUAUGAGCUUUGUUGCGAUCCCUGUAUAUCUAUAAUCUUAAAUUUGACUAAUCCAUACAUUGCGAUGUGGAUUUUUUCCCCUUUAACUUAAAAGCUGAAUUGCUUCUCUGGGGGCAUCUCACUAGCACAGUGGCAAAUCUUUUGCUGUUUGGUUUGCUUUUUAUUUUAUUUGAAAGUAAAAAUGUUUUUUUUUUUUCAACGAAAUGGUGGUAGGGACAAUUGACAGAAUAGAGGGACCGUCACCGAGCCUUCUGGUUGGCCAGCAAUGUCCUACGUCACUACUGUCGUCUGCUCAUUUCGAAAAUUUCACACAGUCAACGAUGAUGUGGCACGAAUGGGUGAUUUUUACUAUGCCAGUAAACGUGCGACUCGAGCAUGUACGCGCAAAGGGAGAUAACCGCUUGCCAGACGAAAUGUUUAACGAAGGGAAUCGACCGAGUGAUCGAUCUUUAUAGUACAGAGAAAGUGCAGCUGCUGCUAACAUUUCUUCAAAACCAAAGAUGUAUCUACAUUCCAGCUGAGCGAAUCAUUCUUGAUUGUUGUUCUGAGAAAUUUUAACACAUUGAUCUGUUCGACAGAGGCAUGAGUGAAGCCUUCGCUUGUUUAAAAAUCUAUAACAAUUAGUUUCUUGUUUUUUUGUUUUUGUUUUGUUUCUGCUUUUUGUUGUUUUAUAAUUUGAGUUCAAGGUUACUACCACGCCAGUCAGUCUCUUAGCCACUAAUGUAAGCAGUUUAAUCAUCGUUUUCAGAAAUAAUAAUGUUUAUAGUGUCUUACCCCACAAACAAAGGCGUCGAGCUAAAAGCCCCUACUUACAUGAAGUCGCACGAGCACAAACUAAUUAUCAAUAUACUAUAUAGGCAUCAAAUGCGUCUUACCAAUGCAUUCAAAUCAAAGCUAUUUUCUCUCUCACACACCGUGUCUAGGAAACCGGAGUACUCGUAGAAAAUCACCGAAAAACAUGUAAACAGCUGUCACAUUCAGAGAAUGUCGCAACCGAGGUACGAUAUCUCACGACACCCGAUUCUCCCUGACGUGGUGACAAUUAAGCACCCUGGCCACUGCGCCACCAACCACCAUUGAGACCGUCUAUAGCUUUGUCGUCAAUACAUCUGAACAUUCCGGAGGAAAGUUAUAAACAUACACGCCCAAAACGCUAAUAUAAGCAGUACUCGAUCUAAGAAUCCGGUUUAGUGCAAUACACUUCUGAUGAUACUGAAAAAUGUUCCUUAACAGACGUACUGUAAAAGGUGCGGAAAGGCCAUCCUCAUCAGUAAUUAUAUACACUAAUGUCCUGGGCCAUUCUCUAAUAAUCUUUAAUUGGGCAUCAGCGCAGUGAAAGAAACAAAAGGUAUAUGUCUUUAUGUUCAGGACUGGUGGGCAAAAUCCAAGCUCAUGAGUCAGUUCGCAGACACGCCAGACUGCAAAUCCUGCAAGCUGUCUCGCUGCCGCAACUGUACUUUGCUUUACAUCUUGCAUUUUGUUUUUGCGGGAUUACAGUGGAUUGUAGACCCCGUCUGAUGCUGACGUCAUAAUAACGGCGUGUCGGAGACAUAUAUCUUAAGUCAGCUGUGCUGGCCUACUACCAUUAAAAGCUAUUUCUACACUUAUAUACUAGGAGAAGAAUGUGCGACAAGGCAAGCCCUCAAAGCGGUAACC
rnacentral:lncRNA from 1 species